rnacentral:rRNA from 1 species
UACGUAGGGGGGCAAGCGUUGUCCGGAUUUAUUGGGCGUAAAGAGCGCGUAGGCGGCCCUGUAAGUCCGCUGUGGAAAGUCAAGGGCUCAACCCUUGGAUGCCGGUGGAUACUGCAGGGCUAGAGUCCGGAAGAGGCGAGUGGAAUCCUGGUGUAGCGGUGAAAUGCGCAGAUAUCAGGAGGAACACCGAUGGCGAAGGCAGCUCGCUGGGACGGUACUGACGCUGAGGCGCGAAGCGUGGGAGCAAACAGG